AGCCUGAACGCUGGCGGCGUGGCUAAGACAUGCAAGUCGCACGGAGGUAGCAAUACCUUAGUGGCGAACGGGUGAGUAAUGUAUCGCUAACGUACCCUUUAGUCCGGGAUAGCCAGGGGAAACUCUGGGUAAUACCGGGUGAUAUUCUUCUUCCGCAUGGUUGGAGACUCAAAGGAGCAAUCCGCUGAAGGAGCGGGGCU
rnacentral:rRNA from 1 species